rnacentral:rRNA from 1 species
CCUACGGGUGGCAGCAGUGAGGAAUAUUGGGCAAUGGACGAAACGCUGAACCAGCCAUGCCGCGUGAGUGAUGAAGGUCUUCGAAUUGUAAAGCUCUUUCGGCUGUGAAGAUGAUGACGGUAACAUCUAAAGAAGCCGCGGCAACCUUCGUGCCAGCAGCCGCGGUAAUACGAAGGGGGCAAGCGUUGUUCGGAAGUACUGGGCGUAAAGGGUGUGUAGGCGGGAAAGGAAGAUUGUGGUGAAAUGCCUGAGGUCAACCUGGGAACUGCCAUUGUAACUAUUUUUCUAGAGUGAGAGAGAGGAUAUUGGAAUACCCGGUGUAGAGGUGAAAGUCGUAGAUAUUGGGUAGAACACCGGAGGCGAAGGC